UUAUUUGAGAGUUUGAUCCUGGCUCAGGAUGAACGCUGGCGGCGUGCCUAAUACAUGCAAGUCGAGCGAAUGGAUUAAGAGCUUGCUCUUAUGAAGUUAGCGGCGGAC
rnacentral:rRNA from 1 species